UGUAAAAUAUGUUUAGGUUAUUUGAUCUAAAUAUCGUUUUUUGCCGUCAUGUUUAAUUAUUUUGUAUUAGAUAUUCUGUGAAUUUAUAUUUUGUAAAUCAUAUGCGUAUAUAUGCAUAUGUACACAUAUAUUAAUAAUAUAUUUAAAAAUACGAUAUAAAAUAUAAAUUAUAAAUAUAUAAACAUCAAAUUUAAUGCAUCAUUUUAAAAGAUAGUUACGAAUAAUGCGAAAUAACACGCAACCUUAACGAUUAUAACCUAUACGAAAGUUGAAAAUUUGACAGUAAAAAGAAAUAAAAAAAGAAAAUGAUUGGUUUGAAAUAAUAAAUAUUUUAAUAAAUGCUUUACGUUGAAGUGUUUUAGUUUUCAUUAGUUUUUUUUAUUUAUUUAAUUUGAAAGUGUAAAUAAUUUAACUGUUUUCCUGUGGAAUACUUUUACCAAUUAUAAAAUUAACAAUUAUUUAUAUAAUAGAAUUUUAGAAUAUAAGUAAAUAUAAAUCUCACAUAUAUAUUUCUCUCCAAUCUUAAUAUUUAUAGUUUUGUUAUUUUGAAGAUUAUAUUUUUUAAAAUUGUACGAUAUAAUUAGAAGAAUUAUAAUAAUGCAGAAAUAUUUAAAUUCAUAAUAAUUUUUGUGUUUAAAUAUAUUUAUAAACAUUCGUAAUAAUAAUAAUAAUAAUCCAUUUUAAAUAUCUUGUUCUAUAAUAAGAUUUAAUUGUCUAUAUUAUUAAUGUCUAUAUUAAUGUUAUUUAACUAUAUUACAUGGAAAUCGACAAUAUGGAAUUUAUAAUGGUCUAAUCUCGUGAUUUGUGUUAUAAAAACAAAUUUUAUGAUGCAGUGUUUAAAGAAUUUUGUGGAAAAAGAAAAUUCAUCAAUUCGAAACACAUGUAAUCUUAUUACGGGCACGAUUGCUUGAUUUUUUUCUGUAGAAGAUGAAAUCGAGAUAAAGGUCCAAAGGUCCGAUAUGGUAUGGAUUUGUUAAAUUCCUAUUAAUAAAUGCAACAAUUUGUAAUGAUAAAACAACACUGGUUUCAUUAGAAUCCACUGCAUUGUGUUUUCUUGUGAAAGUGCUAAAGCAAGUUUUGACUCUAAUGUUCUUAAAUAUCGUGAAAAAAUUCAUCCAAUAUGCCUGUCAACGUACACAGUCAUCCUUAAGAUGUUAUGCAGAAGCAGGAUUCCUUAUCAUUGCUGAUCUCUUCAGGAAAGAGAAAUCUACAUGAUUCUGCAAAACAUGGUCUUUAUCUGGAUCCUCAGAAUGUUGUUUAGAAUAUUCGAUAUGUUGAAAUAGUUGGAUGAACCUGUACACAAGUGUUCUGCAAAAUUCCUUGAUAUUAGCACAAGAAAGAUAAGAUAUCUUUUGUGAAAUCAAGAUCACCGAAAAUAAAAAAAUUGCGAUCACUUUCAAAUAAUGCAUAAAAUAGAUUUUUAGAUGGAGAAAGUGAAACUAGAGUGAAAAGAAAAAAAGUCCCUUUUUGUAUUAGUGGUAUAUCUUACAGAAAGUUAUUGAUUAUAAAUGCUGGUUUAUGGCAAUUUAUCAUUAUUUAAUAUAUUGAUGAAAUUUGUGUUUCA